AACGAACGCUGGCGGCAGGCCUAACACAUGCAAGUCGAGCGGGACCUUCGGGUCUAGCGGCGGACGGGUGAGUAACGCGUGGGAACGUGCCCUUUGGUACGGAAUAGCCUCGGGAAACUGAGAGUAAUACCGUAUGUGCCCUUCGGGGGAAGAUUUAUCGCCAAAGGAUCGGCCCGCGUUGGAUUAGGUAGUUGGUGGGGUAAUGGCCUACCAAGCCGACGAUCCAUAGCUGGUUUGAGAGGAUGAUCAGCCACACUGGGACUGAGACACGGCCCAGACUCCUACGGGAGGCAGCAGUGGGGAAUCUUAGACAAUGGGGGAAACCCUGAUCUAGCCAUGCCGCGUGAGCGAUGAAGGCCUUAGGGUUGUAAAGCUCUUUCAGCUGGGAAGAUAAUGACGGUACCAGCAGAAGAAGCCCCGGCUAACUCCGUG
rnacentral:rRNA from 1 species